rnacentral:rRNA from 1 species
CCUACGGUGUGCAGCAGUGGGGAAUAUUGGACAAUGGGGGCAACCCUGAUCCAGCGACGCAGCGUGAGUGAAGAAGUAUUUCGGUACGUAAAGCUCUAUCAGCAGGAAAGAAAAUUACAGUACCUGUCUAAUAAUCCCCGGCUAACUACGUGCCAGCAGCCGCGGUAAUACGUAGGGGGCCAGCGUUAUCCGGAUUUACUGGGUGUAAAGGGAGCGUAGACGGCAGGGCAAGUCUGGAGUGAAAGGUCGGGGCCCAACCACGGAACUGCACUGGAAACUGGGAAGCUGGAGUGCAGGAGAGGUAAGCGGAAUUCCUGGUGUAGCGGUGAAAUGCGUAGAUAUCACGAGGAACACCGGUGGCGAAGGCGGCUUACUGGACUGUAACUGACGUUGAGGCUCGAAGGUGUGGGGAGCAAACAGGAUUAGAUACCCUAGUAGUC